AUUGAACGCUGGCGGCAUGCCUUACACAUGCAAGUCGAACGGCAGCACGGGUGCUUGCACCUGGUGGCGAGUGGCGAACGGGUGAGUAAUACAUCGGAACGUACCUUAUCGUGGGGGAUAACGCAGCGAAAGUUACGCUAAUACCGCAUACGCACUGAGGUGGAACGCAGGGGAUCGUAAGACCUUGCGCUAUACGAGCGGCCGAUGUCAGAUUAGCUAGUUGGUAGGGUAAAGGCCUACCAAGGCGACGAUCUGUAGCGGGUCUGAGAGGAUGAUCCGCCACACUGGGACUGAGACACGGCCCAGACUCCUACGGGAGGCAGCAGUGGGGAAUUUUGGACAAUGGGGGCAACCCUGAUCCAGCCAUGCCGCGUGAGUGAAGAAGGCCUUCGGGUUGUAAAGCUCUUUCGGCCGGGAAGAAAUCGCACAGGCUAAUACCCUGUGUGGAUGACGGUACCGGCAUAAGAAGCACCGGCUAACUACGUGCCAGCAGCCGCAGUAA
rnacentral:rRNA from 1 species